rnacentral:lncRNA from 1 species
UAAGUAUCUGCCUUUGGCUUAGGUCAUGAUCAAGUCCCAGGGUCCUGGGAUCAAGUCCCACAUCUGGCUCCUUGCUCAGUGGGGAGCCUGCUUCUCCCUCUGCCUCUUCCUGCCUGUGCUCGCUCUCUCUCUCUCUCUGACAAAUAAAUAAAUAAAUAAAUAAAUAACUUAAAAAAAAAAAAUGACCUCUCCCAUUAGUUACAAAGUUAUUUAUUCAGCCCAGUGGUGGAGGAUAUGAAGGAAAAUAAGAUCCAUCCAUAGGAAGACAAUAAUUUAAUGAGGAAGACAGGAAGAAUACACAGACUCAAAUAACUAUAAUUCAAGGAAGAUGGAAGUAAGAUGCUUUCUUUCACCAGAGGAAAAGAAAAUCAUCUCCAGCUAGGGGAUAGCCAAGAAGGUUGCACAGAAGAAAGCACUUCUGAGCAAGGCUGCAAAAAAAGAACAAAGCUGGAACAGGCAGGACGAAGGAGAGACUGCGUGUUGCUAAGGAGGCACGAAGGUCAGGGCACACCAGGCACCCUCCCACAUGUCAAGCGAGGGACUCAAGAGUGCCACCACACGGGGACCACAAAGCACCGGGCCUGCAAGGCCACCGCAAGGAACGCAGACCUAAGUUGGCACGGGGUGAAGAGGGCACCUGCUCGAGGUUUCCAAACGAAGCACAGCCGGGGGAUCCCCACAUCUACAUCUCUUGCCCGGACUCCUCCUGCCCAACCUGCAGUCAAAGGCCAUGGCACAAAGCAACGUGGACUCCCCAGGAGCCAGUGUGGCUGCAUUUCCUGCAGAGAUCUAUAAACCUGUCGGAGUCCCAAGUCAGCACCAAUUUCAAAUCUGAUCAGCAUCUCUGAAAGUCACAGUUAC